CACUGUUCAUGUAUCGCAGGGUACAAUUACAUUUAUUUACAUUUAACCAGUUUAAUAUGAAGAGACAGUGAAAUGUAGACCUUCGUUUAUGUGUUUUUGCCAUACACUGUACAAGACGCGAGAGCAGUCCGCUAUUUAGGCACACCGUGGCUGCAAUGAUCGGAUGGGGGAGUAGAGUGGAGUAUCGGGAGUAUACCCCGGCCUACAGAGCCUCCAUCAGAUUCACCAGAUUUACUGAUUCUGCGAAAGAAGCAGGCUGCCAGAAUCACACCCAGAAUGACAACAGCGGCUAUCACAGAUGAGCAACCAUGCCUGAGGAUUUGUUUAAUAUUUUAUUAGAAAUGAAACUUGCCAUGAAUUUAAUUUUUGCAAAGGAAAGAGGAUAAUAAAAAAGAUAAAC